GAUGAACGCUGGCGGCGUGCCUAAUACAUGCAAGUCGAGCGAAUGGAUUAAGAGCUUGCUCUUAUGAAGUUAGCGGCGGACGGGUGAGUAACACGUGGGUAACCUGCUCAUAAGACUGGGAUAACUCCGUGAAACCGGUGCUAAUACCGGAUAACAUUUUGAACCGCAUGGUUCGAAAUCGACAGGCGGCUUCUGCUGUCAUUUAUGGCAGGACCCGGGUCGCAUUAGCUAGUUGGUGAGGUGACGGCUCACCAAGGAAACGAUGCGUACCCGACCUGGGAGGGUGAUCGGCCACACUGGGACUGAGACACGGCCCAGACUCCUACGGGAGGCAGCAGUAGGGAAUCUUCCGCAAUGGACGAAAGUCUGACGGAGCAACGCCGCGUGAGUGAUGAAGGCUUUCGGGUCGUAAAACUCUGUUGUUAGGGAAGAACAAGUGCUAGUUGAAUAAGCUGGCACCUUGACGGUACCUAACCAGAAAGCCACGGCUAACUACGUGCCAGCCGCCGCCGUAA
rnacentral:rRNA from 1 species